rnacentral:rRNA from 1 species
CAAUAGCGUAUAUUUAAGUUGCUGCAGUUAAAAAGCUCGUAGUUGGAUUUCGGGUGGGAAUGGCCGGUCCGCCGUUUCGGUGUGCACUUGCUACGCCCACCUUGCUGCCGGGGACGUGCUCUUGAGUUCACGCUCGGGAGACGGAGUCGGCGAGGUUACUUUGAGUAAAUUAGAGUGUUCAAAGCAGGCCUACGCUCUGAAUACAUUAGCAUGGAAUAACACGAUAGGACUCUGGCCUAUCUUGUUGGUCUGUAGGACCGGAGUAAUGAUUAAGAGGGACAGUCGGGGGCAUUCGUAUUUCAUUGUCAGAGGUGAAAUUCUUGGAUUUAUGAAAGACGAACUACUGCGAAAGCAUUUGCCAAGGAUGUUUUCAUUAA